ensembl:lncRNA
AGCUGAGAGACAACUUCAUCUGCUCAGGCCCCUAGCUCCUGACACCCCAGACACAGCAGAAAGGCGGCUUUCUUGGCAGAAACCUUGUCGGCCCACCCAGGCCCACCGAAGGGUCACAGAAUGCCCUGUGUGCUGUCUUCCUGCCCACCCAGCACUAGUCCAGUGCACCUGAGGACAUGUUCAUUCUGCAGCACAAAGCUGCACCGGGCACAGCCACCUGGAUGCAGACACAGUGGAGAUGCGGUUACCUUCACCUUCACAGGGGCUUCCCAGGACUGAGGCAGAGAAUGUGGGAAGAAUGAGUUCAUGCAAGUGUCACACGAAAAGUACACUUGGUCCACCUAAGGUGUGAGUUUUACUUCCAUGAUGCUGUCUCCUGGAAACAAUGGCUUUCAAUGGAAC